AGGAACCGAGGUGUUUAGCAGUGUUAGCUGCUUCAGAGUUAGUCUAGAGCUAGCCAGAGGUGAGUGGAACUAACCCUUAUGUUUUAAAUCAAAUGUUUUCAGCAUGUUCAAGCAUGUUCAUGCAUCAUGAAUACCAUGUUAUGUAAUAGGUUGUUUGCAUUAGAAUUCACGAAUAUGAUGCAUUGCAUAAUACGAUGAUGAUGAUGUGGAUGGAUACUGGAUGAUCCUCUAGCCCUCAAUAUGUUAUGACAGGAUGUGGAAUGAUAUGAUAUGGCAUGUACGAUAUGAUAUGAGAUGAGAAGUCCAGGUGUGGCCGUAUCGCCCUGAGAAGUCCAGGUGUGGCCGUAUCGCCCCUGGCAUAGAGCAUGAGAAGUCCAGGUGUGGCCGUAUCGCCCCUGGCAUAGAGUAUGUGA
rnacentral:lncRNA from 1 species